ACUUAACCGCCAUCUCGCUCUCUCCCUGCCGCCUCUUUGUCGGGUCACUCCCCGGGCCCGUCCGAGGGCCCGCGCCCUCCCCUUCCUGCGAUCACCAGGCCGGGGUUCCGCGGAGUCCGGGCGGGCGGAGCGCUCAGCCCGCGCGCUCCCUGCCUCCCAGCAGCCCCCGCGCGCGGGGCGGCGGCCGAGGCUGCAGCCUCUACAGGCGGCCGCGGGGUGGCGCUGCCGCCGGGUCGGUGAGGAGGCAGAGCGGGCCGGCCCUACCCACUUUCUAUCCCCCAGUCGCCUCCACCCUUCCCACCCACCUCCGGCCCUGGCCUAGGGAGGGGGUUUCAGCUCCGCGGCCCCGAGGCUGCAGCCGUUGCCUUUGGCUUCCCGCGAUGCUUCCUUCCUCCCGCUGCGGAGCCAGCGUCUCACACCGGCGCCCCCGGCGAGAAAUAGAACAGACCAUGAAACCAGACAGAAGUUGGUGACUGGAGGAGGCCUGUAAAAGAAAAUGACAAAGAAAAAAUGCCAUUCAGGAACCAGAGGGAUCUGACUGAGUUAUGUGGAAGACAAGGCUGGCUGAGACCUGCUAUGCCUGUCCCCCGGGGAGACACUGAUCAUUUCAGGGGCAGGAAGGAGCUGGAGGUGGCUCCAGCUGGGCUACAUGGCGUUCGGACAAGGGGCAGGCUCCUCAUAAGACCUGAACUGCCAGGGCCCUGUCAGUGGACAGAGACAACUGCUAUUUCUAUAUAAUGCUUGAAAUGAAUUUGGAUUGAAGAUAAACAUUUUCCCC